rnacentral:rRNA from 1 species
UUUGACCUACGGGGGGCAGCAGUGGGGAAUAUUGGGCAAUGGAGGAAACUCUUACCCAGCAAUGCCGCGUGAAUGAAGAAGGUCUUCGGAUUGUAAAGUUCUUUAAUUGGGGACGAAGAAAAUGACGGUACCCAAGGAAUAAGCCCCGGCUAACUACGUGCCAGCAGCCGCGGUAAUACGUAGGGGGCAAGCGUUGUUCGGAAUGACUGGGCGUAAAGGGUGCGUAGGCGGUGUAGCAGGUUAGAAGUGAAAUACCUAGAGCUUAACUCAGGUGCUGCUUCUAAAACUGCUAUACUUGA